GGUACCACUGUAUCCUGUUCUCACAGUGGCCAUCUAGACGCCUGUGGGAAGCCCACAAGCAUGAGUUGAAUUCAAGAGCACUCUCCACACUUGUGUUCUCCUGCAACUAGUGUUCAGAGGCACACUGCCUCCACCUAUGCAAGAAAAGGGAAAAGAGCACAUUUCUCCCUUUCCUGCUUGUAGAACUGCAUUCUCCCUCUUGAUAUAUAGUUACAAAAUGCCCAGCCCUCCAGCACUAUGUAGCACAGCGGAAGGAGGACUGGAGGAGGGUGUGGGAAGAAGUAUCCUGUAUCCAUUUCCCACUUUUGGAAAUACUGAGGACUUAAAAAAAAAAUGCAGUUUGACUUUGUAUAUCUGGGGCUGAUUUAAGUGCAAGGGGAGCUGACCCCUACACUGGAAUUGCACCUGUUUUGGUUGAAUGUAGGUAGAGAUGUUUUCAAAGAGAAAACUCCAGGGAGUUAGUGGUAAGGCUCCAGUUGUUUUGAACAAUAUGAGAUGAAGCUACUUAUGGCUGAAUAAAUUUCACAAUAGUGUUCACACAUCAUGGUGCAAACACACACAUAGAGGUUGGCAAGAAUGCAGUAUUUAUGGUGAGUGCAGAAAUUCAUCACCAUAUCAUAAAAUCAGUAGUGAAUGCGGUGCUGAAACAAUACAACUGUCUUUUCUGUGGUGAAAUUCAUGGGGGAGGGCAGUGGAUUCUCCAAUUAAAGCUGAUACCUGUUUUGACUAUUUCUGAUUAGACUCACUCAGAUCAUCACGUGAAUAAGCCUGUUUGUGGAAGCACUGAUACACCAAAACAGUUCAUCAGCUUCCUUCCCCGAGCUUCAUUUCUCUAACCCGCACCUCUCGCAACCACCUUGCUGAUAACACAUAAUCCUCCUUCAUUCUACCUGGGGCAUCUCCAGCGAGGUGAUGCUACAGAAUCUGUGCAAGUGAUGAUUGGCAGUAGGAACUGAUCUAUGCGCACACAUUCCAUAGCAUUGCUGUCCUGUGCAAGAGACCUCCAUGUUUGUGUCUUGGGACCAUAGCUGUCAACUUACAGAUUUGAAAAUAAGGGACCAGCAGCCUCAAAAACAAGGGAUCAGCAGCCAAAAUAAGGGAUUUUAGUCAACCAGCAGCCAAACGAAGCCUCAAGCGGUGGUUCCCACAGCGCAGCAACCCAGCAAAGGGGAUGCAGCAAGGAAAACCAGCGUCACCUCUCCGCUGGGAAGCGCUCAGCAAAGGCGAGUCCCCAGGCAACGUGGCCGAUUUGAUCGGCACAAAGCAUGCAAGCUCUACCCCCCAGUCAUUCUUAGACUCCUUAUUCGGUGAGCAACGCAGCCAAGCAAUACAGUUGGAGCCUCCCUCCUCCCUGGUCGGCAGGGAGGGAGGGAGAAUAGCUGCUUCCUUUGAAACCCGGGAAAUUUAAGGGACAUCAUCAAUAAGGGACAGCAGCAGGACAUGGCGCUGGGAUAAGGGACUUUCCUGCCAAAUAAGGGACGGUUGACAGCUAUGCUUGGGACACAUUGGUUUCACAUGGUGCAUAUAUCUAGAGCUAGGUCUUGUUAUUGAAUAGAAGCAUUGUGUAAUCAGUCUGUGUGAUUGGCCACUGUGUGAACAGGAUUCUGGCCUUUGGUUUGACCCAGCACAAGGACUCUAGCCCACCUCUUGAUCUGAGGGCUUCUGCUUGUCCGGUGCAACUCCUGCUCCACAUGGACAUCGACAAACCAAUACAGACAAACCAGGACAGCAUUUACAUGUGUUGCAUCCCAAGGAAAUAGAUUCACAGGGACUGGGGUGCUGGGGAUAGGACAGAAGUUCAGUGUGAAAGUCAAAUGCCACUGUUGCCAGCUUGUUGGUUGGCCUGUUAACAUGAAUUAAGAAGCGCAUUCCCUUGCUAAAAUGGUUGGGUUGAUCUGGAUUUUCCCCGCAGAACUCUCCUUAGACAAUGUCAGCUUUGUGGGUGAGCUUUAGAAUGUUGAAUAACCAUGAAGCCAUCCAGCAGCUUAAUUCAUUCGUGUUAUGAUUGAAAUGUCAAAGCUCUGGUUGUGUUGGCAAGAAAGGCUGGAGGACCUAAAGUGAACGCCAAUGAUAGUACUACCCCAGAUUCACCAAUCCAACUCGCGUUGAUCUUUCGCUUUCCAUAUUUGUAUCUCGGAGUGAGCAUUAAUGCACCCUUUCUCAAGAGAUGUUGCCUGCAUAUUCCCCUGUUAAUGACGCCUGCAGAAUGCCUCUUUGUUUCUGGCUCAUUUAAGAUGUGUUUGAAGCCAGAAAGUAGCAGCAGCACAAUCCUGCUUUCUUCUUUUUAUCGUUACAGAAUUUCUAAGCAGCCAGUGGAAGAUGCCAACUGCUCCAAAAUCUUUAUUUCAUUUGACAAAUGGGUGCAAAUUGGUAGCUGAGGUCUAUCCCAGUUCUGUUCGGUUCUUUUUGUUUUGUUCUUUUAAAUUAUUGAGUUAUUUUUAUUGUCAAAUUCCAAAUGUUUAAUUUGGCCAGCUUUUGUACACUAGUUUUACUUUGAUGAGCUCUUUUGAUCUGGUUAUUUUAUCCUCUUAGCCAUAUUAAGACUUCUUUUUAAUAUGUUUUGAUAUUGGGCAUCUGCGUAUUGCCAUCCUCAAGAGUGACUAUUAAACCAAGGAGUGCAUUUCAGCCAGAUUUCAUGAGGGGCUUAGCUUUGGAACAUGUCUUCACCCCUAGAUCAUGGAAAGUCAUAGCAAGAAGAGAAUCUGCAGAGUGCUAUUUCAUCACCACCAAAUGUCCUCAGCUAGCUCCAGGCAUCUAGAACGAGAGCUUCUAUUUCAGAGAGUGUGCCUUCCAGGCAUGUGUGAGCCUUGAAACCUGACAUAUCAUUUUAGAAAUUAAUCGCUGAAUACAGCAGACCUGUUCAUGCAUUUGGACAAAUGCAUGUAGACGUGUGGUGGGGAGGGGCACACAUGUGAGCCCCCUUCCCAGUGUCACUUUUGAGUCAGGUCCUCUUAUGAUCCUUGCAUGUUGAGUGAGAUGGUCUGAAGGUAGAGAAUGGGGGUUAAGCAGAAUUCUUAAGCAGAAUGGGGAGGCAUCUAGGCACGUUCUCCCCAACUGGGUGCGGGAAAGGACGCUGUACAUGCUGGUCUGUUAGGGCAAAUGGGGCACUGCCCCAUUAACCUUGGUCUCCCCUCAAUCAGCCCCUCUCUGCCCGUCUUCUAGACUAACAACGAAUCCAGGGGGUGGCACUGCAUGCCAGCAUCCCCUUCCUAAGACUCAGUGUUGCCCUUAUAGAACUCUGCAGGGAGGAGAAGUAUGGGGACAAAACUAGUAUCAGAUGGCUUUGCCUGUCAUUGACUUUGGCUUCACCUCCUGUCGGUCUCCCUGUCAUCCUCCCUACCAGUCCCAAUGGGCAGCAGCCACCCCUGCAUGCUGGGAUGUUGGGGGCAGGGUUCUGUCUUUUGUUCCUCUCUGCUCACCACUUUAAUCUCACAUGUGUUCAUCCCAAAUGAAGUUUUAGGUUUUGAGAUCCUGCAUGCCUGAAUAGGGCUGAUACACCUAAGGAAUGUGCAAUGAGAUAUGUUUAGUCUGCAUCUGGGUUGAGCAAAGUCUUGGCCAGACUUUAUCUCAUUGAAAUCGGUGAGGUCUGUACACUUAACAGUGUGGUUUGUCCUCAUAGAUUACAACAUGUCCUGUGCGUCAGAAAUAAAUAUACGAAAAGUGGUGGCUUUGCAUCAGGCAUGUGUUACAUGCAGCUCAUAAAGUUAAGUAAUGCCUACCAACUGUACAGGUUGGAGGGUCAAUUUCGCCUUCCUUUCUGAGACAUUAGGCACAAUCAGUGAUACACUGAAGAACGCUGUUAAGCAUGUAAGUCACAUUGAUUUCAGUAUGAAAUGUUUUAACUAAGGAUUGCUUAGACUUCCAGUUUUCCAUACUUGAGUGUUAAAACUAUGAAGCAGGCAUGGUUAUGGUGUGUGUGUGGAAACACCCAGUUCAUGCAUGCUGUCAAAGGUCUGGCUGCAUGCCCUUCCAUGUGUAAUACUGCAAAUUGCACAUGGGCAAUUCUCAAUCAUAUGUGCAGCCAGAAUCCCCAAGCAUCAUAGGACAUUCUGGGUUUCAUGUACUGUGUAUCCUCCAUCCCCUGUUUACAUUUUCAAGCUGAGAGUUGGGGGAAAAGGAAUGUCUGAAUUAGCCCUCACUCUCUCUGGUGUGUGUGCACAAAGAAAGUUAUGUCUCGGUCCCCAAACGAUAAAGCUUGUAGCCAUCUUGUAUUGAGUCAGACCAUUGGUUUAUCUUGCUCUGAACUGUCCGCACUGACUUGUAGCAAGUCUGUAGGCUUUUUCAAGCAAGGGUCUCUCCCAGCCAUACUUGGAGAUGACAUGGAUUGAGGAUGGGACUUCCAAUGAGGCAUGAGCCCUUCCCCAAAGGAGGAAAGAGUGAAGCCGCAGUGCUUCCAGCAGGAUGGUCUUUUUUCUGAGUCUUUGAUAGCAUUUCAUGUUUAUGGAGGACACAUGGUCAGAAGCAGAGCUGCCAUGGCGGAGGCUGCAGAAGGGAUUGCUUCCUGAUGAGCUGCCGCUGACAUGAUUUGAUCAUUGGCUCAUGUUUUUGUGGUCAUUCUAACACGAAACAUCCCUUUACCCUUUAGCUGUGUGCAAAUGAUUUACUCUGUGUGUGGUUUAAGAGGAUGUAGAACAGCACGUUUUUAUUGUUAUUUUGUAGUUUAUGAUGUGUGCGUCCACCACUUACC
rnacentral:lncRNA from 1 species